rnacentral:rRNA from 1 species
UACGUAGGGGGCAAGCGUUGUCCGGAAUCAUUGGGCGUAAAGGGCGCGUAGGCGGCUUGGCAAGUCCGACAUGAAAUGUACCGGUUCAACCGGGGCACUGUGUCGGAAACUGCCUGGCUUGAGGUCGAGGGAGGAGAGUGGAAUUCCUGGUGUAGCGGUGAAAUGCGUAGAUAUCAGGAGGAACACCCGUGGCGAAGGCGGCUCUCUAUCUCGAUUCUGACGCUGAGGCGCGAAAGCUAGGGGAGCAAACGGG